UUACGGCUAUAUCACCUUGAAACACCGGCUGUCAUCCGAUAGCCUAAGUUAAGCAACGUUGAGUCUGAUCAGCAUUAUGAUGGAUAACCCCUGGGGAAUACCAGGUGAUGUAAG